UGAGGAAUAUUGGUCGAUGGGCGCAAGCCCGAACCAGCCAUCCCGCGUGCAGGAAGACGGCGCUAUGCGUUGAAAACUGCUUUUCCAGGGGGAGAAACUUGCGCACGUGUUGCGCAAUUGACGGUACCCUGGGAAUAAGCAUCGGCUAACUCCGUGCCAGCAGCCGCGGUAAUACGGAGGAUGCGAGCGUUAUCCGGAUUCAUUGGGUUUAAAGGUGCGUAGGCGGACUAUUAAGUCAGUGGUGAAAUCCUGCAGCUUAACUGCAGAACUGCCAUUGAUACUGAUAGCCUUGAGUUUGGUUAAGGUAGGCGGAAUGUGUAAUGUAGCGGUGAAAUGCUUAGAUAUUACACAGAACACCAAUUGCGUAGGCAGCUUACUGAGCCGACACUGACGCUGAGGCACGAAAGCGUGGGGAUCGAACAG
rnacentral:rRNA from 1 species